GGCGGACGGGUGAGUAAUGUAUAGUUAAUCUGCCCUUUAGAGGGGAUAACAGUUGGAAACGACUGCUAAUACCCCAUACUCCUUUUAUCUUAAUGGUAAUUGGGAAGCGUUUUUUCGCUAAAGGAUGAGACUAUAUGGUAUCAGGUAGUUGGUGGGGUAAGAGCCUACCAAGCCAAUGACGCCUAGCUGGUCUGAGAGGAUGAUCAGCCACACUGGAACUGAGACACGGUCCAG
rnacentral:rRNA from 1 species